AGGGGAGUGAAAAAGAACCUGAAACCGUGUACGUACAAGCAGUGGGAGCACCCUUCGGGGUGUGACUGCGUACCUUUUGUAUAAUGGGUCAGCGACUUAUAUUCUGUAGCAAGGUUAACCGUAUAGGGGAGCCGCAGGGAAACCGAGUCUUAAUUGGGCGUUAAGUUGCAGGGUAUAGACCCGAAACCCGGUGAUCUAGCCAUGGGCAGGUUGAAGGUUGGGUAACACUAACUGGAGGACCGAACCGACUAAUGUUGAAAAAUUAGCGGAUGACCUGUGGCUGGGGGUGAAAGGCCAAUCAAACCGGGAGAUAGCUGGUUCUCCCCGAAAGCUAUUUAGGUAGCGCCUCGUGAAUUCAUCUCCGGGGGUAGAGCACUGUUUCGGCUAGGGGGCCAUCCCGGCUUACCAACCCGAUGCAAACUGCGAAUACCGGAGAAUGUUAUCACGGGAGACACACGGCGGGUGCUAACGUCCGUCGUGAAGAGGGAAACAACCCAGACCGCCAGCUAAGGUCCCAAAGUCAUGGUUAAGUGGGAAACGAUGUGGGAAGGCCCAGACAGCCAGGAUGUUGGCUUAGAAGCAGCCAUCAUUUAAAGAAAGCGUAAUAGCUCACUGGUCGAGUCGGCCUGCGCGGAAGAUGUAACGGGGCUAAACCAU
rnacentral:rRNA from 1 species